GGGGGCGCGCUGGGUUGUGCGCGGUUUCUUCGCGCACACGCGCCGCCAUCUCCAGCCGCGAGGCUGGGCGCGCGAUUUCUAAUCGGCGUGAAACGCGGCUUCACGUGUAACUGAGGCGCCCCCGACACGCCGCGAGACAGCCGCCCCCUCCCCGCGAGGGCCGCGCGCCCUCUCACGUGGGCGGGUAAAAACCGCCGUAACCGAGUGUCAGGGAAGCGGGGCGAGAGGCGUGAGGGAGUUUCACGAGCAGGGAAGCGAGACUGUGCGGGUCGUAACAGCGCCCAGCCAGCCAGCCCCCUUCUGCUGCGUUCAUUAAUGAAGUACCGUUAAACGGCUGCUUUCAAGGAGUCCCCGCGGCUCUCCUCCCUCCCUCCCUCAGCGAUUCUCAGCAAUAAACCCAAGGAAACCCCAGUAAAACCAGUCCUGAGAGAGAGACUUUAAACAGCUGCCUUAACAUUCAUCCAAGACGAGGGAGCGAGUGGCCCUCCAGGACCAGGAAGAAACCUCUGAAGACAUCCGGGAACACAGGAAAAGCAGAUUUGUCCUGCAGGCCAAAAGGCUAACCCUGUGUAGUAGAUGUUGUCUGAUGGAGGCUGGUAGCUGGGGUAUUGAUUAACUUAACUGUGAGAACUUCUGUGGAUAAUUCAGAGUGCAAGUGGGAUGUACAGAUGUAAUAAUUUGGGAAUCUGUCAGUACAAAUUUAUGAAUUCUGGAUGAUAUUGUUAUGAAAGAUGCUGUAUCAUGAAUGCCUAGAUGUAUGUGUAUCCAUCAUGUCUUCCUAGCAUGACAGCAUGUCUUCCUCAUACUGAGUACAGUAGGAAAUACUUAAAGUUAAUGACAAUACUUUGGUCACAAUAUUAUUCUAAAAAGUAAAAACUAGCUGCAUCCUUGGGAGACCAGUUUUAUUUUACCCCUCUGAAGGGAGUAGGGAAAUAAAGGAGCAGAACAAAAAAUGGCCAAGUGUCCAGGAGAGGUUUAAUAAACACAGAGGAACCAGACAGGAAGAGGAAGUGUGGGGGUAGGAAAGAGUAAGGUGAUCAUGGAAGCUGGGCAACGACUUCAUGAGGGAGAAACAACACAACAGGCAAAAAGUCUGCAUGAGGCAGGGGACGCUCUGCCUGCCUUCCUGGCCGCAAAUGGUCCCCCCGAGGACUCACAAAUGAAGAGCUAGUGACGGAUAUUGCGGUUUAAGAUGUUUAUUGUUUUGUAUGAUCUGUACUCUGCUGUGUUUGAAGAGUAUUAAGGUGUUAGUCUCUGUGGAGUGUGCUACGUUCUUCACAG